UACGUAGGGUGCGAGCGUUAAUCGGAAUUACUGGGCGUAAAGCGUGCGCAGGCGGUUCGCCAAGUCAGGUGUGAAAUCCCCGGGCUUAACCUGGGAAUUGCGCUUGAAACUAGCGGGCUUGAGUGCGGCAGAGGGGGGUGGAAUUCCACGUGUAGCAGUGAAAUGCGUAGAUAUCAAGAGGAACACCUGCGGCGAAGGCGGGUUGCUGGGCCGACACUGACGCUGAGGCGCGAAAGCCAGGGGAGCGAACGGG
rnacentral:rRNA from 1 species